rnacentral:lncRNA from 1 species
GUCUUCUUUACCACCUGGCAAUAGGAGCCAAGGGGCUAUGGAACUCCAAAAAGAAUCAGACAGAGAUUUCACAGCACAUGGUGGUCACAACAGCCUGAAGAACCAGCAAGAAAGAAAAACAGCUGAAAGCAAAAGGGAUAGAAAAACAGAGAUCUGUGAUAUUUAGAAGCCUGGGCUGUUCAGAUGCAAUGUUCAGAAGCAAUCUGAAUGUUGCAGAAAAGGAGAGCUAGCAGUAAAGUGACAGAGGAUACCGCAGAUCUGCAGACUGGCCAAACGAGAUGGGAAGGAAAGUGCUGGGGUGCAGUGGGUGUGCUACGACGUUAAUAUUCAGUUCUGCUGCAUCUAAACAGCUGUUGAAGGAAUAAGGUUUCUGUGUGAGUGCAACAGACAUAUUCCACAGUGACCUGUGCUACUCAAAGUUUCUGGAAAGGGGGACCCCUGUGCUACAUCCUCCACCCCCACUCUCCCAGCCACAGAUGACUAGUUCUGAGAUGAGCACCUGCCUCAGAGACAACGAUUCUUGCUUGCCCCUGACUUAUAAUUUGGUGACUCUGCUCUAAAAGCUGAGCUGAGCCAAUCUGUCUUUUGCCCUUGAGAAUUUGACAGGGACAGUUGCACAUUAUUGGUGGACACUAGAGUUGAUGUCAGGGCAAAUGGCCAUAUUGGAGCAAACAAACAAAUCUUCAGAAUAAAUGAACAGAGAAAGGGGAAGAGGAAGCAAGAGAAAAGGGGAGAGAAGAAGAAGAGGGUUCAGAUGCAAGUAACAACACACAAAUGAGAGACUCUGUGGUCUCUAAAAGAAGAACAAUGUGGCUCUGGUUUCUAGCAUGCUAGUUCUAGGUUUCCUGAGG